rnacentral:rRNA from 1 species
UACAGGGGGUGCAAACGUUGCUCGGAAUCAUUGGGCGUAAAGCGCACGUAGGCGGUCUGUUAUGUCGGAUGUGAAAGCCCUUGGCUCAACUGAGGAAGUGCAUCCGAAACUGGCAGGCUAGAGUCCGGAAGAGGCGAGUGGAAUUCCUGGUGUAGCGGUGGAAUGCGCAGAUAUCAGGAGGAACACCAAUAGCGAAGGCAGCUCGCUGGGACGGUACUGACGCUAAGGCGCGAAAGCGUGGGGAGCGAACAGG